GUGUAAAGGGCGCGCAGGCGGACCUUUAAGUCAUGGGUGAAAUCUUUCCGCUUAACGGAAAAACUGCCCCUGAUACUAUUGGUCUUGAGUUCGGUAGAGGGAGAUGGAAUUCCAGGUGUAGCGGUGAAAUGCGUAGAUAUCUGGAAGAACACCGGUGGCGAAGGCGAUCUCCUGGCCCGAAACUGACGCUCAGGCGCGAAAGCGUGGGUAGCAAACAGGAUUAGAUACCCUGGUAGUCCACGCUGUAAACGAUGGAUACUAGAUGUUGGCUCGCAAGAGUCAGUGUCGCAGCUAACGCAUUAAGUAUCCCACCUGGGAAGUACGAUCGCAAGGUUGAAACUCAAAGGAAUUGACGGGGGCCCGCACAAGCAGUGGAGCAUGUGGUUUAAUUCGAUGCAACGCGAAGAACCUUACCUAGGCUCGAAAUACUAGAUUAUCCACCGGUGAAAGUCGGUGGCGCUUCGGCAAUCUAGACAGGUGCUGCAUGGCUGUCGUCAGCUCGUGUCGUGAGAUGUUGGGUUAAGUCCCGCAACGAGCGCAACCCUUGUCCUUAGUUGCCAUCAGGUUAAGCUGGGCACUCUAAGGAGACUGCCUACGCAAGUAGUGAGGAAGGUGGGGAUGACGUCAAGUCCUCAUGGCCCUUACGCCUAGGGCCACACACGUGCUACAAUGGGUGCUACAAAGGGCUGCGAGACCGCAAGGUGGAGCCAAUCCCAAAAAAGCAUCCUCAGUUCAGAUUGGAGUCUGCAACUCGACUCCAUGAAGCUGGAAUUGCUAGUAAUCGCGCAUCAGCACGGCGC
rnacentral:rRNA from 1 species